CAACCACCUGAGCAAAGGAAAAUUAUUUUGCCUGGACCUUGCUCCAUGCCCACUGAAGCCUCACGUAACAUUGGUGGGACUGGAUCAAAUCAGAGGAAUUUGAGGAUCUUUUCCCCCAUUUUUUCUCUUUUUCAAAAAUUUAAAUGAAAAAUAUUGCUAAUAAAAUCCAACUUUAAUUUUU